UGUGUAUAAAUAUUUCUCAGAUUUCAAUGAAAGAUUUUAGAUUUAACCACAAGUUCCGUGAGGCAUGUCAGAUUGCAGUGGGCACUUUUUGCACACACAAGAAAACAAAGUAUGAAGUGGUGGCCUGCCUCAGUGAACAUGUCAGGAAUGACACUCUGUUAGAGAAAGAGCAGAGGAUAGAAGCUGGUUGCCAGAAACAGUUGAAGUUUGAGCUGCU
rnacentral:sRNA from 1 species